rnacentral:rRNA from 1 species
CGAUAGAGGCAGAUAACUACUGGAAACGCUAGCUAAUACCGCAUAAUCUCUUAGAAGCAAAGCAGGCUAACUUCGUUCCUUGCGCUAUCGAAUGAACCCAUAUGUAAUUAGCUAGUGGGGGAGGGAAUGGCUCACCUAGGCGACGAUCCCUAGCUGGACUGAAAGGAUGAUCACCCACACUGUGACUGAGACACGGCCCACACUCCUACGGCAGGCAGGAGUGAUAAAUAUUGCAGAAUGGAAGCAAGCCUGAUGCAUGCAUGCCGCGUGUAUGAAGAAGGCCCUAGGGUUGUAAAGUACUUUCAGUCGGAAGGAAGGCGUUGAUGCUAAUAUCAUCAUCGAUUGACGUUAC